rnacentral:rRNA from 1 species
UACGUAGGGUGCGAGCGUUGUCCGGAAUUAUUGGGCGUAAAGAGCUCGUAGGCGGUGUGUCACGUCGGCCGUGAAAACCUGGGGCUUAACUCUGGGCGUGCGGUCGAUACGGGCAUCACUAGAGUUCGGCAGGGGAGACUGGAAUUCCUGGUGUAGCGGUGAAAUGCACAGAUAUCAGGAGGAACACCGGUGGCGAAGGCGGGUCUCUGGGCCGAUACUGACGAUCAGGUGCGAAAGCGUGGGGAGCAAACAGG